AACGUAGGUUCCGAGCGUUAUCCGGAUUUACUGGGCGUAAAGCGCGUUCAGGCGGUUUGGCAAGUCGGGCAUGAAAUCUCUCGGCUCAACCGGGAGAGGUUGUCCGAUACUUCCAGACUUGAGGGCAGUAGAGGGUGGUGGAAUUCCGGGUGUAGUGGUGAAAUGCGUAGAUAUCCGGAGGAACACCAGUGGCGAAAGCGGCCACCUGGACUGCACUUGACGCUGACACGCGAAAGCUAGGGGAGCAAACGGG
rnacentral:rRNA from 1 species